GACGAACGCUGGCGGCGUGCCUAAUACAUGCAAGUAGAACGCUGAAGGUGAAGCUUGCUUCUCUGGUUGAGUUGCGCACGGGUGAGUAACGCGUAGGUAACCUGCCUGGGAGCGGGGGAUAACUAUUGGAAACGAUAGCUAAUACCGCAUAAGAGUAGAUGUCGCAUGACAUUAUCGUAAAAGGUGCAAUUGCAACGCUACCAGCUGGCCCUGCGUUGUAUAAGCUAGUUGGUGAGGUAACGGCCCACAAAGGCAACGAUACAUAGCCGACCUGAGAGGGUGAUCAGACACACUGGGACGGAGACACGCCCCAGGCCCCUAGUGGAGGCGGCAGUAGAGGAUCUGCGACAAGGGAUGGAAGACUGACAGAGCGACGCGGCAAGAGUGAAGAAGGCGGCCGGCUCGUAAAGCGCUGUUGUGAGAGAAGCACGAGGGUGAGAGUGGAAAGUUCACACUGUGACGGCAUCCUACCAGAAAGGGGGCGAUAACUACGUG
rnacentral:rRNA from 1 species